GCAGGCAGAAGCUGGGUGGAUACAGCUCCGAUAUGAAGAAUUUUCGGGUUCGCAAGUUCAAAUCUUGCUGUCUGCACCA
rnacentral:tRNA from 1 species